CGAAGCGACAACUUUGCAGCGGGGUCGCGUUUUGCCUGUGCGCGUCUCUCUCAAAGACGUCAUCCGCCACCUCUUGCACACACGCACAUACAUCACGCCUACAUUCACGCACAGAAACAGGCGGUAGCACGAGAAGGGAGGCAACAUAGCGACCCCACCCAUCCCUCUCCCUUUUAUCGGACUGCGCAUCACGCAGGCUCAUUCGCUUACUGCUCUCUUUUCUCCGCCUCUUCUUGUUUCUGUUUUCGGGUCAUCUCCGUGUACAUGUACGGUAAACUCUUCUAUCUCUAGAACCUUCCCUUGUGACAUUCCCCCACCCCUCCCUUCUUCUCCCCAUCACACCCCUCCCUCUCUGCUUUCUGCUGUGUGUACGUGUGCAUGGCUAUUGCGGACUCACACAAGACGUACACACCCACACAAGUAUAUAUACACACAAAUAUAUAUAUAUAUAUAUGUAUACGCGAGCAGCGGCAGACCCCUUCGCACAUCGAGGCUUUUGCUAGUGUUUGCUCGCUCGUGUGUGUGUGUGCGUUGCUGCCCGAGCGCGACGGCUUCUCUGUAUCUGGCUUCCUUUCUCCAUUUACUUCCCGUGCGCGCCCUGCAACGGAGCUCGCCCGUCUUAUCGUUUCCGGUUUCUCUGCUUUCCGGCAUCGCUACUGCCCCCCUCCCCCCGAAAGAGCACACGUGGUUUGCUUUCUCCCUUGUGCUUUCACUUUGAUCGCGUGACGGCGACAACGAAAGUGCGGCCGCGCUCUCGAAAGCGCAAGCGCGAUUAAUGAUUCCCGGAGGUGCGGGCAGCGGCUUAGAGCCUGUGCACCCCAGAAGUGGACUGGCACACCCGUACAUGGACUCCGUGCCCACUAGCAGCGUACCCGGAAUGUUCUCAUCUUAUACUGGCAGGCCGACAUUUAGCGCAGGCAUCGGGGAGGGCGGCAUCGCCGGCGGCGGCGGAGGUGCGCGAGCUGCUUCGGCAGAAAGCUCUCCCUCAGAGGGCGAGGCUUUCACCAAGGAGGAUCGGAUGCUGCUUCGGCUGCUCUACCACCAGCAGCAAGCCAUCCAGGUGCAGCUUAACACCAUGACGGAGUGGAUGCAGCAAGUGAACUAUCGCAUCGCAUCCCUCGAACGGCUCUCCCGCCACACGCGCCCCGUCACGGCUGUCGGGGCAACCUCUAGCCUUACCGCGAGCGCUGCACCGCCACCGUCCUGUAGCACCUCCGCGGCGGAGGGCUACGGCACCGUGGCAGGCCAACUCCAAGGAGCACCGCUCUACUCGUCUUCCCCGGCGCUUAGCGCGAGAGACGCACCUCGGCCGCAGACAGGCUCUGCGCCGGCGAGCGUCUACGGCGGGCAAGGCCUUCACCAGCGCGCUACCUCGAGUGCGCCGCCCUUGUCGAGCGUCCUGGAGAGUUCCCGUGCCUGCACCCCGCCAUCUGAGCAGACGAGGCACCAGACCGGCGGGGCUGGCGGUGGCAGCGCUGUACCGAGCACGACCCGCUCCUUCGAGUCCGCCAUGGCGCAGCCGUGGGACCCGCACAACACUUCUCUGCAAUCUGCUAGUGGUGCGGGGGUUCACAGCCGCACCUCCUCGCACACGAGCGCGCUGGGCCGUCGUGCGAACCCUCUUUUGAGCUCGUCCACCACCAUGAGCAAACUGCCCACGUCGACCUCGCGGCCGAACUGGGGUGACCCCAAGCAACUCUCACGGCUGGACGCAUCUGUACCGAGCGGCACGGCGCAAACAUCAUUAUCGAGCGGCCUAACCUCACUCGACACACAACAGCCACCGCCAUCCCAGCAGCAGCAGCAGAGCCGCCAGCCGCCCGUCGUCAGCCCACCUACCGCGGCAGCGGUCCCGUACGUAUCGUUUCCUCUGUACACGUCAGCCGACACCGUCGUUCCGCCGUACCGCCGGAUCCCGCCAGAGCCGACGACACGUCAGCCCCAUAGUCGAGCUGCAGGCGCGGUCACAGUAUCCGCCUCCACGGCCAGUCGCACACCUCCUGUCUUCAGUGGCACCGUGGACGCAUCACUCGCCGCGUCUGGCCGGGAGGGGACGCUGCCGCCGGCGCAGAGCAGCAGUAUGGUCACGAGCAGCAACCACAGCGACGCACGAGGGCGCGCCGCCACCGAGACUACGGCUGUGGAGGGGUCGCGGGAGGUCAGGGCCACUCACAGCGUCGCCGUCGUUAGCCGUGGAGACCUGCACGCGGCCACCGAUCUCGCAGGUGGGGUCGGCCGAGCUGCUCGCCGGCAUGAUGGGGGGACGCGCUUGCCCUCCGCGUCGAACGACGACUCGCUCAGCGAUGGCUAUGGCAGCUACGAGUCUCGAAUGUACAUGAAGAAUUUGGGGCUGUUGUGAAUCUUGGGCCACGAGGAGAAGGGGCGCGAUGCAUCUCAGUGAGGCGCUGUUCCAUCAUCUUGUGCGGGCUUUUCCUGUAUCCUUUUUGUCACCAUUUCAUGCCAAUGGACCAAAUCACCGGCGAGGUACUUUUCUCUUUCGCGUGCUGCCGUUUUUUUUUAUACCUUUCCUUCUCCCCUUUUGCUUGCUUUGCGUGCAUCCGUCAUUGGGGUGAUGGCCACCACGACGAUGCCGUGUACCACUACAAGGAUGGGUCUGUUCGGAUUUCUCACGAUGUGCGGGACCAUUUGUGUUUGCGUGCUCCCUUCGGCGGAGGAGAUGAAGCAUGGACUGCGUCGUCCAUGGUAGAUGCCCCCCUGCUCGUUCUCUCUUCGUUUCCCUUUUCUGUACGAUCCCCUCUCCUUUCCUUUGUGCACCAGGACGGCAGGGCGCUGCGGCUCCGUGUCGUGUUCUUGAGCACUUCGGCUCUGCAGUCGCUCGCAGGGGAGACGCGAAGGGAGUGCCACGCUCGAAAAGGCACAUAAGGAAGGGAUGCGGAGCCUUUCAAGGGGAGUUCACCAGUGUUUGCGCUUUUUCCUUCCGCUCUUCCUCAAUUCUUUUUCUUCCCUUCUCGUUACCUUCUUUAGAUCAAAUUGUGCAGGACUCUGAGCUGGGUAGCCCCUAGGGGACGCAAUCUGAGGUGGUGGAAGGCGGAGGGCUGAUCACAAUGACGAUUCUAUCUUCCUUUCGGUGGUUACAAGCAAGGUGAAGACCCGCUGGAGUGUGUUACGUGGAUGCGCCAUGCUGCCCUACUUGGUGGCCCCUCUGGGUAGCCCCUGUGUCGCCAUGCGCUAAGUUCAUGCAUGAAGAUCGAUGCCCCUCGCAAGUGCUCGCUGGCGCAUGGGUGACGAGCAUCGCCCCUCCCCCCCUUUUCUUCUUCCGCCCUGUUCCCUCCGUCUCUACCCCUUUUGGUGUUUGGUUCAGUCAGUACUGUCGUGCUUCGUUUUCUUCUUCGUUCGGUUUCAUGCACACACAUCUCAUUACAAGAGGAGCUCACCCCAUUUAUCCCCCGCAGCUGCGUGUUUUUGUUUUCUCCUCCUUCUCAGCAUGCUUAUCGGCAUUGCCACCACUACUGCGAGGUACACAAGGCCCUCUUACCCUUUUCUUCGGCUGCCGUUUUAUAGGCACAUCUCCUCCGCGGCACUCGCAGCGUCACACGUGCCUGUUUGCGUGUGCGCGUCCAUGUGUGUAAUGUACUAGAUUCCUCCAGCAAGCAUUCAGGAGCAACACCGAAAGAAACAAAAUAGAAGACGAGAGCCAAGCAUCCUUCGUUGUGACAGUCGACGUAGUCUACUCGUGAACCUACAGCAGCGGCGGUGAGGCGGUACACGCUGAGCUGCUAUCAUUUAUAGCACCGUGUGCAAGUCAUUUUUGUGAGGCAGGGGUGUGGUGUGUAUGUGUGUGUGUGGGGGGGAGGGAAGUGCGUGUGCCGACUUGAGUGUCG
rnacentral:misc_RNA from 1 species